UACGUAGGGCGCAAGCGUUGUCCGGAAUUAUUGGGCGUAAAGAGCUCGUAGGCGGCUUGUCACGUCGGGUGUGAAAGCCCCGGGGCUUAACCCCGGGUCUGCAUUCGAUACGGGCAGGCUAGAGUGUGGUAGGGGAGAUCGGAAUUCCUGGUGUAGCGGUGAAAUGCGCAGAUAUCAGGAGGAACACCGGUGGCGAAGGCGGGUCUCUGGGCCGAUACUGACGCUGAGGAGCGAAAGCGUGGGGAGCAAACAGG
rnacentral:rRNA from 1 species